rnacentral:rRNA from 1 species
GACGAACGCUGGCGGCGUGCUUAACACAUGCAAGUCGAACGGAAAGGCCUGCUUUCCCUUGUGGAUUGCGGGUACUCGAGUGGCGAACGGGUGAGUAACACGUGAGUGAUCUGCCCCCAACUUGGGUAUAAGCCUGGGAAACUGGGUCUAAUUCCCGAUAGGACUGCAGGGUGGUGCCUGUGGUGGAAAACGAUUUUCUAGUGGUUGGGGAUGAGCUCGCGGCCUAUCAGCUUGUUGGUGGGGUAAUGGCCUACCAAGGCGGCGACGGGUAGCCGGCCUGGGAGGGUGGACGGCCACAUUGGCACUGAGAUACGGCCCAGACUCCUACGGGAGGCAGCAGUGGGGAAUAUUACACAAUGGGCGGAAGCCUGAUGCAGCGACGCCGCGUGGGGGAUGACGGCCUCCGGGUUGUAAACUCCUUUCGACCGCGAGGAAGCCACCUGGUUGGAAGGGUGGUGACGGUAGUGGUAGAAGAAGCACCGGCUAACUACGUG